rnacentral:rRNA from 1 species
GACGAACGCUGGCGGCGUGCUUAACACAUGCAAGUCGAGUGGAGCGGCGAACGGGUGAGUAACGCGUGAGUAUCUGACCCCCUCUCUGGGCUAACAGUUGGAAACGGCUGCUAAUACCGGUUAGUGUGGGAUGACGUGCGUCCUAUCAGCUUGUUGGUGGGGUAGUGGCCUGCCAAGGCGACGACGGGUAGCCGGCCUGAGAGGGCGACCGGCCACAUUGGGCUGAGAUACGGCCCAAACGCCUUCGGGGGGCAGCAGUGGAGAGUAUUGCGCAAUAGGGGAAACCCUGGUGCAGCAUCGCCGCGUGCGGGAUGACGGCCUUCGGGUUGUAAACCGCUUUCGGCCAGGACGCGGUAGUGGCAGAAGAAGCACCGGCUAACUACGUGCCAGCCGCCGCAGUAAUUC